CAGCAGCCACGGUAAUACGAAGGGGGCUAGCGUUGUUCGGAAUUACUGGGCGUAAAGCGCACGUAGGCGGACAUUUAAGUCAGGGGUGAAAUCCCGGGGCUCAACCCCGGAACUGCCUUUGAUACUGGGUGUCUAGAGUAUGGAAGAGGUGAGUGGAAUUCCGAGUGUAGAGGUGAAAUUCGUAGAUAUUCGGAGGAACACCAGUGGCGAAGGCGGCUCACUGGUCCAUUACUGACGCUGAGGUGCGAAAGCGUGGGGAGCAAACAGGAUUAGAUACCCCCGUAGUCCCUGUCUCUUAUAC
rnacentral:rRNA from 1 species